CCUAACCAGUUCGGUAAAAGUUGACCCUGUAUUCAAGAGAUAAACGUUUCAUGGCGAAAUCUUAGGCGUACAUUUUACAGUUGUUAUCACAUCGUUCAAAAUUUGAAAUCCCUGAAAACAUAUCCUACUUCAAUCUUUCCUUCCUCUCUCCCCAUAAGAAGCCCUAACACGCAUCCACCUUGUCAUUUUAUACUGCCAUAUACAGAGAGGUGUUGAAGAUCGGAAAAUCUCUACACACACUCACCACUCUCGCUCAAUACAGGUUGAAAUCUCUGUACCCUUGAAGGUUUAAUCGUUUAAGCUACCACUCCCCGUGCCAUCACCAUCAACAACCACACAUCGCACCAUGCCAUCAGGAACCACUCUUCUGUUUUUUUUGUUUUCUAUUUUUGAAAAUCCAGUUACGCCUCCUCCUAACUCGAAAUCGAGUUUCAGUUGAUGGAGGAAAAUGAAUUUCACCGGCUGCUCCAAGUUUCAAAAACUAAGUCUAAUCACUUGCUGUCUUCUUAAUUUCCAUAAUAUGAAAAUUUUACCCAAUUAUGGUAUAGUAAUUUCAUAUUAUUUCUAUAAGCCAAUCUGUAAAGUUUUUUCUUAUUAUGUACUUUGAGAAGUUUGAAAUUACAACUUCUAGAGCAUGCUAUAUUUGUCUAAUAUUAUCCAUUUUGGUGUCAUUGUUGAUUGUAGGUAAAGUGGAUUUGUGUUGGCUUUGUUGGAAAUUGUGCAUACGUUUUUUUACUUUUGCUGAUUUUGUGAUGUAGGCCUUGCCGAAUUAGCAAAUUGCUGAUUACCCGAAUUAGCAAACUGCUAAUUACCCACCAAAAUUGGUUCCAGAACUGUUUGCAGCAAUAAUUUUGUUUUGGAUUCAGGUACUAUAAUUUUGUUUUAUUUAGUUCUAAAUUAUAAAUAAUAAAAUGAAUAACUUUUGAUUCUCAAGUCCGUUUUAACCAUUGUAAUCAUUGCAUUUAUUUAAUCUAUUAUUUAGUUAUCAUAGUUUUAGGUCACAUGUAUGUAGGUUUAUUUUUUAUUGCUAUAAAGCACAAAGAAAUGAUAGUAGGAUGCUAUAAAGCACAAAGAAAUGGAAGUAUGUUGCUUUAUUUUUUAUUUUUUUGGGCUAUUAGCUGCCAAAAGGCCAAAUUUGUUUAAUGUCAAAAGGCCAAAGUUUUGUUUUAUUUUGUCAAACUAAUGGAUUUUGUUCUUCCUGUAUCUAGGUUGGAGAUAACUUUAGUAAAUUUGGGGUUUUGCAUUUUUUUUGCUACCUAAUUCUAAUGCUACCAUUUACUUUUAUGUGUUUUGUAAUGAAAUACUCUUAUACUUUGAAUAAGAUGGGAGUUAGUUACUUA